rnacentral:tRNA from 1 species
GGGUCUAUAGCUCAGUUGGUUAGAGCGCGCCCCUGAUAAGGACGAGGUCACAAGUCCGAGCCUUGUUAGACCCACCA